rnacentral:rRNA from 1 species
UGGGGAAUAUUGGACAAUGGGCGAAAGCCUGAUCCAGCCAUGCCGCGUGGGUGAAGAAGGCCCUAGGGUUGUAAACCCCUUUCAGCGGGGAAGAUAAUGACGGUACCCGCAGAAGAAGCCCCGGCUAACUCCGUGCCAGCAGCCGCGGUAAUACGGAGGGGGCUAGCGUUGUUCGGAAUUACUGGGCGUAAAGCGCGCGUAGGCGGACCUGCAAGUCGGGGGUGAAAGCCCGAGGCUCAAUCUCGGAACUGCCUUCGAUACUGCGGGUCUCGAGUCCGGGAGAGGUGAGUGGAAUUCCUAGUGUAGAGGUGAAAUUCGUAGAUAUUAGGAAGAACACCAGUGGCGAAGGCGGCUCACUGGCCCGGUACUGACGCUGAGGCGCGAAAGCGUGGGGAGCAAACAGG